rnacentral:rRNA from 1 species
UGGCUCAGAUUGAACGCUGGCGGCAUGCCUUACACAUGCAAGUCGAACGGCAGCGGACCUUCGGGUGCCGGCGAGUGGCGAACGGGUGAGUAAUAUAUCGGAACGUACCUUUCAGUGGGGAUAACGUAGCGAAAGUUACGCUAAUACCGCAUAUUCUGUGAGCAGGAAAGCAGGGGAUCGCAAGACCUUGCGCUGAUUGAGCGGCCGAUAUCAGAUUAGCUAGUUGGUGAGGUAAAGGCUCACCAAGGCGACGAUCUGUAGCGGGUCUGAGAGGAUGAUCCGCCACACUGGAACUGAGACACGGUCCAGACUCCUACGGGAGGCAGCAGUGGGGAAUUUUGGACAAUGGGCGCAAGCCUGAUCCAGCCAUGCCGCGUGAGUGAAGAAGGCCUUCGGGUUGUAAAGCUCUUUCGGCCGGGAAGAAAUCGCACAGGUUAAUACCCUGUGUGGAUGACGGUACCGGAAUAAGAAGCACCGGCUAACUACGUG